rnacentral:rRNA from 1 species
GGUCAAGGUACUAAGGGCACGCGGUGGAUGCCUUGGCGGCGGGAGGCGAUGAAGGGCGUGGCAAGCUGCGAUAAGCCCGGGGGAGCCGCAAGCAGGCGUUGAUCCCGGGAUUCCCGAAUGGGGAAACCUGGGUGGCCGAUAAGGUCACUCGCCGCCGAAAGGCGGUGCGACACCGGGGGAAGUGAAACAUCUCAGUACCCCGAGGAAAAGAAAUCAAACGAGAUUCCCCUAGUAGCGGCGAGCGAACGGGGAGGAGCCCAAACCAGCGUGGUGUCAAAGCCCGUGGGCGUUGCCACGCUGGGGUUGCGGGACACGGCCGGGCGAGGCCACGGACUCGCCGGGGAGUUACAAAUCCCUCCUCUAGCCGAACCACCUGGGAAGGUGGGCCGGAGAGGGUGACAGCCCCGUAGGCGAAAGGGGAGGGACUCCCUGGGCCGUGAUCCCGAGUACCGCGGGACACGUGGAAUCCCGUGGGAAGCUGGGGGGACCACCCUCCAAGGCUAAAUACUACCCGCCGUCCGAUAGCGCACCAGUACCGUGAGGGAAAGGUGAAAAGCACCCCGGAAGGGGAGUGAAAGAGGACCUGAAACCGCGUGCCUACAAGAAGUCGGAGCCCCCAUUUGGGGGUGACGGCGUGCCUUUUGAUUAAUGAGCCCGCGAGUUGCCGUCGGUGGCGAGGUUAAGCCGAGAGAGGCGGAGCCGUAGCGAAAGCGAGUCCGAAUAGGGCGCUCAGUCACCGGCGGCAGACCCGAAGCCGGGUGAGCUACCCCUGGGCAGGGUGAAGGUGGGUUAAAACCCACUGGAGGCCCGAACCGGUGGACAGUGAAAAGUCCUCGGAUGACCUGGGGGUAGGAGUGAAAAGCUAACCGAACCCGGUGAUAGCUGGUUCUCCCCGAAAUGCAUUGAGGUGCAGCCUCGGGUGGUCUGUGCAGGGGGUAGAGCACUGAUGGGGCUAGGGGGUUUUCCUCCGAACCCCGUCAAACUCCGAAUCCCUGCACACAAAGCCCGGGAGUGAGCCCGCGGGGGAUAAGCUCCGCGGACGAGAGGGGAACAACCCAGACCGCCGGCUAAGGGCCCGAAGAGGUGGCUAAGUGGGAAAGGAUGUGGAGCGCCUAAGACAGCUGGGAUGUUGGCUUAGAAGCAGCCAUCAUUUAAAGAGUGCGUAACAGCUCACCAGCCGAGGCGCUCUGCACCGAAAAUGUAACGGGGCUUAAGCCACCCCCCGAAGCCGCGGGUCAGUACCUCCACUGGAGGUACUGGCGGUAGGGGAGCGUUCCGCUGUAGGGUGAAGGCGGACCCGCGAGGGCCGCUGGACGAGGCGGAAGUGAGAAUGCGGGCAUGAGUAACGAGAGGAGGGUGAGAAUCCCUCCCCCCGUAAGCCCAAGGGUACCUGGGGAAGGGUCGUCCGCCCAGGGUUAGCCGGGACCCUAAGGUGAACCCGAAAGGGGUAGCCGAAGGGAAGCCGGUUAAUAUUCCGGCGCCACCUGCGGUCGAUGGCACGAGGGGUGACGCAGGAGGGUAAGUGCCGGGGGCAAGUGGCAUGCCCCUCCAAGCGGUUAGGGCGAUGACGGGCGUAGGUAAAUCCGCGCCCCGAGCCUGAGCCGUGAUGGGGAGGUCCCUUCGGGGACCAACGGCGCUGACCCCACACUGCCGAGAAAAACCUCGCGUGCCGCUUGAGACCGUAGGUGCCCGUUCCGCAAACCGACACAGGUGGGCGGGCUGAGAAGGCUCAGGGGAGCGGGUGAACCCUCGCCAAGGAACUCGGCAAAUUGGCCCCGUAACUUCGGGAGAAGGGGUGCCGCGUUAGGGUGAACCCAGGGGAAGGGGCAACCCGGAAACUGGGGGAGCCCGAGGCGGUCGCAGUGACAAGGCCCUGGCGACUGUUUACCAAAAACACAGGUCUCUGCUAACUCGAAAAGAGGAAGUAUAGGGACUGACGCCUGCCCAGUGCCGGAAGGUUAAGGGGAGGGGUGAGGCUCCCCUUGUGGGAGCGUAGCUCCGACCCGAAGCCCCGGUAAACGGCGGCCGUAACUAUAACGGUCCUAAGGUAGCGAAAUUCCUUGUCGGGUAAGUUCCGACCUGCAUGAAUGGCGUAACGACUGGGGCACUGUCUCGGCGGGGGGCCCGGUGAAAUUUCAGUCUGGGUGAAGAUGCCCAGUACCCGCGGCUAGACGGAAAGACCCCGUGGAGCUUUACUGCAGCCUGGUAUUGGGCUCUGGUGCAUCGUGUAUAGAAUAGGUGGGAGGCUGUGAAGCCGCCUCGCCAGGGGCGGUGGAGCCGCCAGUGGAAUACCACCCUCGGUGCACUGGAGUCCUAACCUGACCCUGUGAAAAGCAGGGUGGGGACAGUGCCAGGUGGGCAGUUUGACUGGGGCGGUCACCUCCUAAAAGGUAACGGAGGUGCGCAAAGGUCGGCUCAGGUGGGUUGGAAAUCCACCGUAGAGUGCAAGGGCAUAAGCCGGCCUGACUGCGAGGCCGACAGGCCGAGCAGGGGGGAAACCCGGCCCUAGUGACCCGGCGGUCCCGUGUGGAAGGGCCGUCGAUCAACGGAUAAAAGUUACCCCGGGGAUAACAGGCUGGUCCCGCCCGAGAGUUCACAUCGACGGCGGGGUUCGGCACCUCGAUGUCGGCUCAUCCCAUCCUGGGGCUGAAGCAGGUCCCAAGGGUUGGGCUGUUCGCCCAUUAAAGGGGUACGUGAGCUGGGUUCAGACCGUCGUGAGACAGGUCGGUCCCUAUCUGCCGCGGGCGUAGGAGGCUUGAGGGGGGUCCUCCCUUGUACGAGAGGACCGGGAGGAGGGGGCCUCUGGUGUACCGGCUGUCGCGCCAGCGGCAUACGCCGGGUAGCUAUGCCCCUAAGCGAUAACCGCUGAAAGCAUCUAAGCGGGAAGCGCGCCCCAAGAUUAGGCCUCCCAUCCCGUUAAGGGAGUAAGGCCGGUCCGAGAAGAGGACCUUGAUAGGCCGGGGGUGUAAGCGCCGCAAGGCGUUGAGCCCACCGGUACUAAUCGGCCGAGGCCUUGACCUC